rnacentral:piRNA from 1 species
UUUGNGAGAUGCUUCCUACUCUGCUUGUG